GUUGACUGGUGCGGUCGCUUGCAUCCUCAUAUUUUAUCUGCCUCAUUACUUGUUACUCUGUAGAUUCCACUUUUAGAUAUUUGGUUUUUUGAGCUACAGGGACAAACAUGUAAUGUAACCACUGCCAGUACAGAGAAAUGUGCAAAGUAUUCUGCUGUUCCAGGCUUCCAGCUGUUUGAUAAUUAAAUCUGUUUGAUUUACUCAUGUGAAC
rnacentral:misc_RNA from 1 species